rnacentral:lncRNA from 1 species
GGAAACCAAAUACUGAAAAGGAAUCGCGUAAAUUUUUGAGAAUCACAAACCAACUGGCACCACAUGGAAGUCUUGAAGGGGUCUCUACUCUCCCACAUUCUGCAAACGCAAGCAAAAAUAUAUGAAUGAAAAAUUAAGGUUUACUCAAAUGAUAAUCCAAAAAAAACCUCUUUAAUGCUAGUGAUUAAAAAUAGUUUAGAAACAAUUAAAUGUCAUAAAAU